rnacentral:rRNA from 1 species
GACGAACCGAGCGAACGUUGUUCGGAAUCACUGGGCUUAAAGGGCGCGUAGGCGGGUGCUCAAGUCCGGGGUGAAAUCCUCCAGCUCAACUGGAGAACUGCCUUGGAUACUGGGUGUCUCGAGGGUGGUAGGGGUCUGCGGAACUAUCGGUGGAGCGGUGAAAUGCGUUGAUAUCGAUAGGAACUCCGGUGGCGAAGGCGGCAGGCUGGACCACUUCUGACACUGAGGCGCGAAAGCCAGGGGAGCAAACGGG